rnacentral:lncRNA from 1 species
CUCUUCUAUCCAUACAGAUUGGUGUGUUCAUGAGAUGCUGACAGGAAACUUCAGCAGACUAAUUUAAACUGGUUGUAGAGUUCCACAGUACUGUUGCAAAGUAGAUGGAAAGUGGCACUACAGAAAACAUGCAAAGAAAGUAACAGCAGAGGCAGAAGAUACUCUUACUUCUCUGAUACAGGUGGUUCAUGGGGAGAGAUGAUGGCUCACAGAACACUGGGUUUCUGCAGGUCUUGCAAGAAAUCAGGGCCCAGGAUGAGAGGGAGACCUUGGUAUGUUGCGUAAACUUUAAUUGCCACAAAAAUCUGUUGCCAUUAAUGUCAGUGGAAGUUUUCUUGUGGAAUGGCUGAACUGAGGAUGAAGGACACACCAGCAGAGCUGGCAGUGCACACACCUUCCCCAGCUGGGAUUUCGGAUGCCACAAUCUUUUAUUUUAGCCUCCAGUGGUUGAACGGUGAACCCUUCGUUUAAAGAGAGCUUGUUUUCAAGAAAGUCCCUGGUCAAGUUUGUGAGGUGAAAAUGAAAAAAAAAAAGAAAAGUUUUAUAAGCACUCAGUGCUCUCCUGAACAGUGUCAGGGGAUGUGAGCUGAGAUCCCAGGGCCAGCGGGCUCACCUUUCACUGGACCCCAGUGGCACUUUCCCUGACAAAGGACCCUGAGGACUCCUGCCUGCACAGGUAAUUUGCAUGAAAAUGCCAUGUCCUCAAUAUUAGGAAGAAUUUCUUCACAGGAAGAGUGAUUAGACACUGGAAGGGGCUGCCCAGGGAGGUGGUGGAGUGGCUGGAUGUGACACUCAGUGCUCUGGUCUGGGUGAUGAGGUGGUGAUUGGUCACAGGUUGGACUCAGAGGUCUUUUCCAACCUCAGUAAUUCUGUGACUGCUGCCCAGCUUGCAGAGGUGCUGCUGUACACACUGUUCUCAGAGAAGGGGAAAUGCUGGUUCCCCCCACCUCCAAUGCAAGAAAACUUCUGAAAAGGACUGAGGGUUUUCUCUAAAUGUUUAAUAUUCAGAAUUCUGUAGAAUACUUUGUGCUGAUGAGAGCUAACCCAGUAUACCAAAAGAUGUGGCAUGCUGGUACAAGCUUCUGGUACCUGCUCGUGGCUGUCAGGGGGAUUAGUUCCCUUGGCUGUUUUGGGGGGGGGAAUCUUGGGUGAGAAAGUAAAGUGGGAGGACUCUUAAAAAUUGCAAUAUGUGUCUCUUUUGGAUGAUUGCAUGCUGUGAGAAGACGGUAGGAUCUCUCAAGAAACCUUAGCACUGGGUGGUUAUGCUUACAAACUAAAUAUAACAAUUUCUGCUUGCCAGAGAAUCUAAAGAAAAAAACCCCCAGAUUUUCAAAAGACAGAGUGGGUGCC